UGAGAAAACCAGCAAGAUGGCGGAAGUGGAAGAGAAGAAGAAGCGGACCUUCCGCAAGUUCACCUACCACAGCAUAGACCUCGAUCAGCUGCUGGACAUGUCCUGUGAGCAACUGAUGCAGCUAUACAGUGCGCGCCAGCGACGGCGGCUGAACCGCGGCCUGUGGAGGAAGCAGCACUCGCUGCUGAAGGCUGUGCAAGGCCAAGAAAGACGCGCCGCCCAUGGAGAAGCUCGAGGUCGUGAAGACGCACCUACGCGACAUGAUCAUUCUGCCCCAGAUGGUGGGCAGCAUGGUGGGCGUCUACAAGGGCAAGACCUUCAACCAGGUGGAAAUCAAGCCUGAGAUGAUCGGCCACUACCUGGGCGAGUUCUCCAUCACCUACAAGCCCGUGAAACAUGGCCGGCCCGGUAUCGGGGCUACCCAUUUCUCCGGCUUCAUCCCCCUCAAGUAACCUGCUGGCUAAUAAAAGCAGAGCGUUCUCUAAAAAAAAAAAAAAAAAAA